rnacentral:rRNA from 1 species
UACGAAGGGGGCGAGCGUUGUUCGGAUUUACUGGGCGUAAAGGGCGCGUAGGCGCCUUGUCAGUCAGGCGUGAAAGCCCCGGGCUCAACCUGGGAACGGCGCUUGGGACGGCGAGGCUGGAGUUCGGGAGAGGAGAGUGGAAUUCCCAGUGUAGAGGUGAAAUUCGUAGAUAUUCGCAAGAACACCAGUGGCGAAGGCGGCUCACUGGCCCGAUACUGACGCUGAGGUGCGAAAGCGUGGGGAGCAAACAGGG